AUGACGACAGGAGGACCUCGCACUCACUCAGCUUUAGCAUUGUGGGUCGGUUGAGGACAAAUGCGUGAUGAAGACUAGACGUUCACUGUGGGAUCAGAAAUCAGAAGUGUUUCUGAAUGUUUUGCUUUCAAAAGCAGAAGGAAGAGAUUCACCUGGAGACGUGCUGCAUCACAGACAUGAAUGACGUCAUCAAAGAUGGGAUGCAUCGCCCCGUGGUGUAUGGUAUAGUGUGUUUCAGAUCUGCAGGAUGAAUUGGCUCUGCUCAUUGAUUUCUCGUCUGGUCAGUAUUUGUCCACGUCUCCACAUGCAGAGCCUCCUCACUUCGUCCAUCACAUCAAAUCCACCAUCCAGUUUCUGCUGGAUCAUCCGACCGCAGACGGGCUGUUUCCAGGCGGUCAGCCGCAACUGUAGCCCCGCGCUGAGGACGGCCGCUGGAAGAGAGCCUAAACGCUGACCUCUGACCUCUGUGACCCACUGUAACCCAACUAAAGGCCUUUGACGUCUGCUGUUUAAAGUAGAAGCUCCUUUACACUGAUUUCAACUGAAACAGGCCGAUUGAAGCUCAGAUUGACUGUUUAAAGGGCCACUUCUACUUGAUGGUUUUACUAACACGUGUGUCAUUAACCGCACCUGCUGGCCCUUACAUACAAACAAGAGUCUAUGGACUAUUUGUUUUCAUUUUUAUUUCAUAUUUGUUAUGUAUGUCAAUGCAAAUGUGUUCAUGGAUCAUAAGACGUGUCCUUUAUUUUAAACUAAUAUAAUAUGAUGUUGUUUUCUUCCUAACAUCUAGCUGCGUCUUAUUUGCUCACUAAACUGUAAAUACAGUAUGUUGUGAUCCUUUGAGGAGGAGUAAAAGAAUUACAAUUCUGUUGCCGUGGAAACAUGGUGUUUUGUUUAUUUAAACCUUUGUAUGAUCAUAACAGUGAAUGGAAACUUUAAAUAUAUUCCUCUUUAGACUGUGUUGUCUUAACGAGGAUCUGCUGAUU